CAAAUCCCAAUCCUCCCAGCUGCCAGCAUCCUAGCCCCUAGCUCCCAGCGUCUCUUAUGCAGCACCUCUUCCUCCGCCUCGGCAGUUCGACCUUUUCGGCUCCAGCCACCGGUCCUCCUCAGUCCUCCCUACGCCCGGCCAUCCCCCUCCCUUCCUUUUUUCCAGCACCGUUCACCCAGGCGCACACACCGGUCGCUGCCAGGCCACCCAUCGCGACCCCCAGGCACUCGCCCAGCGCCCCCCCAGGUCGCGCCUUGGCGCCCGCCCAGGCCCCUUGCCGCCGAGCUCCGACGACCAGACGAUGGUGAUAGGAUCAAUAGCUUAUAUUGUCAUGCCUUGAAGACAUUUAAGAAGAAACGAAGGUAGAUUCUUGCAUCACCACUCCGAAUGAUUCAGUUGGACUUUUACGUAAUAAUUGAGUUGAGCAAUGACUCUUGUAUGGUUUUUUGCUUUUAUUUGUGUUACUCUGUGAAGAUUUCGAUUUGAGAUGAUAGUAGGAUGCAUCAUGUAUGAGACUAUUUUAUUUGUUGGCUCGGAUUUAUUUGUUUGCGA